AUAAUGGGUCAGCGACUUAUAUUCUGUAGCAAGGUUAACCGAAUAGGGGAGCCGAAGGGAAACCGAGUCUUAACUGGGCGUUAAGUUGCAGGGUAUAGACCCGAAACCCGGUGAUCUAGCCAUGGGCAGGUUGAAGGUUGGGUAACACUAACUGGAGGACCGAACCGACUAAUGUUGAAAAAUUAGCGGAUGACUUGUGGCUGGGGGUGAAAGGCCAAUCAAACCGGGAGAUAGCUGGUUCUCCCCGAAAGCUAUUUAGGUAGCGCCUCGUGAAUUCAUCUCCGGGGGUAGAGCACUGUUUCGGCAAGGGGGUCAUCCCGACUUACCAACCCGAUGCAAACUGCGAAUACCGGAGAAUGUUAUCACGGGAGACACACGGCGGGUGCUAACGUCCGUCGUGAAGAGGGAAACAACCCAGACCGCCAGCUAAGGUCCCAAAGUCAUGGUUAAGUGGGAAACGAUGUGGGAAGGCCCAGACAGCCAGGAUGUUGGCUUAGAAGCAGCCAUCAUUUAAAGAAAGCGUAAUAGCUCACUGGUCGAGUCGGCCUGCGCGGAAGAUGUAACGGGGCUAAACCAUGCACCGAAGCUGCGGCAGCGACACUAUGUGUUGUUGGGUAGGGGAGCGUUCUGUAAGCCUGUGAAGGUGUACUGUGAGGUAUGCUGGAGGUAUCAGAAGUGCGAAUGCUGACAUA
rnacentral:rRNA from 1 species